rnacentral:rRNA from 1 species
CGGCCGUGGCGGGCUUUCUAUACAUGCAAGUCGAGCGGACAGAUGGGAGCUUGCUCCCUGAUGUUAGCGGCGGACGGGUGAGUAACACGUGGGUAACCUGCCUGUAAGACUGGGAUAACUCCGGGAAACCGGGGCUAAUACCGGAUGGUUGUCUGAACCGCAUGGUUCAGACAUAAAAGGUGGCUUCGGCUACCACUUACAGAUGGACCCGCGGCGCAUUAGCUAGUUGGUGAGGUAACGGCUCACCAAGGCGACGAUGCGUAGCCGACCUGAGAGGGUGAUCGGCCACACUGGGACUGAGACACGGCCCAGACUCCUACGGGAGGCAGCAGUAGGGAAUCUUCCGCAAUGGACGAAAGUCUGACGGAGCAACGCCGCGUGAGUGAUGAAGGUUUUCGGAUCGUAAAGCUCUGUUGUUAGGGAAGAACAAGUGCCGUUCAAAUAGGGCGGCACCUUGACGGUACCUAACCAGAAAGCCACGGCUAACUACGUGCCAGCAGCCGCGGUAAUACGUAGGUGGCAAGCGUUGUCCGGAAUUAUUGGGCGUAAAGGGCUCGCAGGCGGUUUCUUAAGUCUGAUGUGAAAGCCCCCGGCUCAACCGGGGAGGGUCAUUGGAAACUGGGGAACUUGAGUGCAGAAGAGGAGAGUGGAAUUCCACGUGUAGCGGUGAAAUGCGUAGAGAUGUGGAGGAACACCAGUGGCGAAGGCGACUCUCUGGUCUGUAACUGACGCUGAGGAGCGAAAGCGUGGGGAGCGAACAGGAUUAGAUACCCUGGUAGUCCACGCCGUAAACGAUGAGUGCUAAGUGUUAGGGGGUUUCCGCCCCUUAGUGCUGCAGCUAACGCAUUAAGCACUCCGCCUGGGGAGUACGGUCGCAAGACUGAAACUCAAAGGAAUUGACGGGGGCCCGCACAAGCGGUGGAGCAUGUGGUUUAAUUUCGAAGCAACGCGAAGAACCUUACCAGGUCUUGACAUCCUCUGACAAUCCUAGAGAUAGGACGUCCCCUUCGGGGGCAGGAGUGACAGUUGGUGCAUGGUUGUCGUCAGCUCGUGUCGUGAGAUGUUGGGUUAAGUCCCGCAACGAGCGCAACCCUUGAUCUUAGUGCCAGCAUUCAGUUGGGCACUCUAAGGUGACUGCGGGUGAACAAACCCGGAAGGAAAGGUGGGGGAAUGAACGUCCAAAUUCAUCAUGCCCCCUAUGA